rnacentral:rRNA from 1 species
UACGUAGGGUGCGAGCGUUAAUCGGAAUUACUGGGCGUAAAGUGUGCGCAGGCGGCGUUGCAAGUCGAGUGUGAAAUCCCCGAGCUUAACUUGGGAAUUGCGCUCGAAACUACGAUGCUCGAGUAUGGCAGAGGAAGGUGGAAUUCCACGUGUAGCGGUGAAAUGCGUAGAGAUGUGGAGGAACACCGAUGGCGAAGGCAGCCCCCUGGGCUAACACUGACGCUCAUGCACGAAAGCGUGGGGAGCAAACAGG